rnacentral:misc_RNA from 1 species
GAAAUGCGAUACGUCAUGCGAAUUGCAAGAUCCAGUGAGUCAUCAAAAUUUUGAACGCAACUUGCACUUCCGAGUAAUCGGGAGUAUGUCUGUUGGAGUGUCUGUUCAUCCCCACGACGCGUUUCUUCGGGAACGCGUCUGGUCGGUCAGGUCUCUCGCUGGUUCGCGAGGCCCGUGCCCUGAUGAAAGACACCCAGUCGUCGCACUCAUCUUCUCGAAGAUCAGAACGACACGACGUCCAGUUCUUCGGAACUCACUCGUGUCAUCAGUUUCGGAUCUUCGCCAAGGAAGGUGUGUGGGAGGACCAUCCGAUCGGACCUCCAAUCAGGCAAGAAUACCCGCUGAAUUUAA